rnacentral:rRNA from 1 species
UACAGAGGUCUCGAGCGUUAGGCGGAAUCACUGGGCUUAAAGCGGUGUGUAGGUGGAUCGUUAAGUACCUUGUGAAAUCCCACGGCUUAACCGGUCGGAACUAGCUUGGUAUAGACUGGCGGUCUUGAGCCAGCUAGGGGCUACCGGAACAAAAUGGUGGAGCGGUGAAAUGACGGUAGAUAUCAAUUUGGGAACGCCCAAUGGGUCGAAAAACAGGUAGCUGGGGCUGUGCUGACACUGGAAGAACAGGAAAGCCCAGGGGAGCAAACGGG